rnacentral:rRNA from 1 species
CAGUCGCCGCGGUAAUACGAAGGGUGCAAGCGUUAUCCGGAUUCACUGGGUUUAAAGGGUGCGUAGGCGGAUCUGUAAGUCAGUGGUGAAAUCUCCAGGCUUAACCUGGAAACUGCCGUUGAUACUAUAGGUCUUGAAUUUUGUGGAGGUUAGCGGAAUAUGUCAUGUAGCGGUGAAAUGCAUAGAUAUGACAUAGAACACCAAUUGCGAAGGCAGCUGGCUACACAACUAUUGACGCUGAGGCACGAAAGCGUGGGGAUCAAACAGGAUUAGAUACCCCCGUAGUCCCUGUCUCUUAUAC